UUGUUGCCUUAGCACGGGCUGCAGGACGACGCGAUUUGCUCCGGAGCGCCGAACUCGAAUCCAAGACCGGGCUCCCGUUUCAAAUUCAGCCCUCUGCUCUGGGCACUAAACGGGCCCCUCCCCCUCCCCCUCCCCCUCCCCCUCCCCCUCGGGCCUCUCCUCACCCCGUGGCAGGGGUUUUUCCGAAGGGGACCGUGACAUCAGGGAGGUGAUGCCGUGGCAGGCAAGGGAGCCGGAUUUAAGGGAGGGAGCAGGGUCACCUGCCUCACUUUCCCCUCCAGAGCCAUUUGGGUCCCCGGAUAUAGCUCAAGAUGACUGGAGAUGGCCCUGGAUGAAAGGAGAAGGGUCAUUUGACAGAUGAUGGAAUCAAUGGGUUCUACCCAUUGCAAAGAAACUGAGGCUGGAGGGAGCAACGUUUUGCCCAAGAUUGCACAUCUAGAGCUCAUGAGUUCUAAGCGUCUUUCCUCUAUUCCAGUCGGAGAUGAAGAAAAUGGAUUUCUAUAUCUGCUGUAUCAGAAUCAGUUACUUUUCCCUACUCAUCUUAAUAGAAAUGCCUCAGUUCAUUGCAGCCGCCUCAGAAACUAAUAAGCUUUCUCAGAAGAUGGAUACUGGCCAGUGAUGCACAACUAUGACAAAGCAAUAGACCUCCAUUGGCUGUGUAUUUUAAUUAACACAAUGGAAGGCUUGAGGCACAAACUGAAACACGAAGGAAUAUGAGCUGGAGGAGGGAUAUCAGAGCAAAUGAUACAUCUCGAUGUCAGUGCCUGAAGAGGAGAAGAUGUGGACAAGAAGUUCUUCAGGACCUCACCUGUAUCUGAAUUCUGUGUACCUGUUUGACUUUUGGACUUAAUGGCCUAAUUGUUUGACUAAGUUACCCAAGUCAAUGUAGAUAAAAUGGUCACAUGGGUUGUCUGAUUAGGCUUUAUCCCAGCCACACUGUAUAAAGGACUUACCAGAGAGACCUUCCAUUCUGUCUCCAAUAAAGCCAGUUCUUCAGUCUUCUUA